rnacentral:rRNA from 1 species
GACGUAGGGAGCGAGCGUUGUCCGGAUUCAUUGGGCGUAAAGCGCGCGCAGGCGGCCAGGCAAGUCGGGUGUGAAAAUCCGGGGCUCAACCCCGGACCUGCACCCGAAACUGCCUGGCUAGAGGUAGGUAGGGGAGAUCGGAAUUCCUGGUGUAGCGGUGAAAUGCGCAGAUAUCAGGAGGAACACCGGUGGCGAAGGCGGAUCUCUGGGCCUUACCUGACGCUCAGGCGCGAAAGCUAGGGGAGCGAACAGG